rnacentral:rRNA from 1 species
UACGUAGGUGGCAAGCGUUGUCCGGAUUUAUUGGGUUUAAAGGGUGCGUAGGCGGUCUUAUAAGUCAGUGCUGAAAUAUCCCGGCUUAACCGGGAGGGUGGCAUUGAUACUGUAGGACUUGAGUAAAGUUGAGGUUGGCGGAAUUGACGGUGUAGCGGUGAAAGGCUUAGAUAUCGUCAAGAACACCGAUAGUGUAGACAGCUAACUAAGCUUUAACUGACGCUGAGGCACGAAAGUGUGGGGAUCAAACAGG